rnacentral:rRNA from 1 species
GGAUCGCAAGACCUUGCGCUCUUGGAGCGGCCGAUGUCUGAUUAGCUAGUUGGUGAGGUAAAGGCUUACCAAGGCGACGAUCAGUAGCUGGUCUGAGAGGACGACCAGCCACACUGGGACUGAGACACGGCCCAGACUCCUACGGGAGGCAGCAGUGGGGAAUUUUGGACAAUGGGGGAAACCCUGAUCCAGCCAUGCCGCGUGAGUGAAGAAGGCCUUCGGGUUGUAAAGCUCUUUCAGCCGGAACGAAACGGUCACGGUUAAUACCCGUGACAACUGACGGUACCGGAAGAAGAAGCACCGGCUAACUACGUGCCAGCAGCCGCGGUAAUACGCAGGGUGCGAGCGUUAAUCGGAAUUACUGGGCGUAAAGCGUGCGCAGGCGGUUUUGUAAGUCAGAUGUGAAAUCCCCGGGCUUAACCUGGGAACUGCGUUUGAA